AAAAGUAUGACUUAUAUAAGCUGUUGGAUACAUAAUUUUGGAUUAGUUUUGUACAGUAGAUAUUCAAAUCACUAAAAUGUUUAGAUACUUCUGUAUUUUAUUUAUAACUGCCAUGCUUGUCGACAGAUGCGUAAUUCAAGCGGCAUCGGUUUCCACGACUGGAGGAGCUGGUGGCGGUGGUGUCAGCUCCACUAGCGGUACCAGUGGUGGCGGGCUUGCUGGUGGACUACUCAGUAACGUGCUGGGUGUUGUAGGAAGCGGCAAAACAGGAGAUGUAAGUCCAGACCUCUUGACAACCACAAUUGCAACAGAUACUGAAGCAACAGAAUCAUAAAAUCAGAUCUACGCGAUGAUGCAGUGCUAAGUUCUGACAAGGUUUUUCAAGAACAAGCAAAAAAAUAUAUUGUAAUAUUUUGUGUAACAAAUAAAUAUAUUCAAAUUAGUGUGAAAUAAAACAUAAUCAGCA